GACGAACGCUGGCGGCGUGCCUAAUACAUGCAAGUCGAGCGAAGUUUUUCUGGUGCUUGCACUAGAAAAACUUAGCGGCGAACGGGUGAGUAACACGUAAAGAACCUGCCUCAUAGACGGGGACAACUAUUGGAAACGAUAGCUAAUACCGGAUAACAGCAUAAAUCGCAUGAUAUAUGUUUAAAAGUUGGUUUCGGCUAACACUAUGAGAUGGCUUUGCGGUGCAUUAGCUAGUUGGUGGGGUAAAGGCCUACCAAGGCGACGAUGCAUAGCCGACCUGAGAGGGUGAUCGGCCACACUGGGACUGAGACACGGCCCAGACUCCUACGGGAGGCAGCAGUAGGGAAUCUUCCGCAAUGGGCGAAAGCCUGACGGAGCAACGCCGCGUGAGUGAAGAAGGAUUUCGGUUCGUAAAGCUCUGUUGUUAGGGAAGAAUGAUUGUAUAGUAACUAUAUACAGUAGAGACG
rnacentral:rRNA from 1 species